rnacentral:rRNA from 1 species
GACGAACGCUGGCAGCGUGCCUAAUACAUGCAAGUCGAGCGCAGGAAAUCGACAGAACCCUUCGGGGGGAAGUCGACGGGAUGAGCGGCGGACGGGUGAGUAACACGUAAAGAACCUGCCCUCAGGUCUGGGAUAACCACGAGAAAUCGGGGCUAAUACCGGAUGGGUCAUCGGACCGCAUGGUCCGAGGAUGAAAGGCGCUCCGGCGUCGCCUGGGGAUGGCUUUGCGGUGCAUUAGCUAGUUGGUGGGGUAAUGGCCCACCAAGGCGACGAUGCAUAGCCGACCUGAGAGGGUGAUCGGCCACACUGGGACUGAGACACGGCCCAGACUCCUACGGGAGGCAGCAGUAGGGAAUCUUCCACAAUGGACGAAAGUCUGAUGGAGCAACGCCGCGUGAACGAUGAAGGCCUUCGGGUCGUAAAGUUCUGUUGUAAGGGAAGAACAAGUGCCGCAGGCAAUGGCGGCACCUUGACGGUACCUUGCGAGAAAGCCACGGCUAACUACGUGCCAGCCGCCGCGGUAAUAC